UAGUGUCAAGACAAAGUUACGUGGGAACCACAUCUCUACGUCUUUUAGCUAACGUCCCACGGCUCCUUCAACUCUUUCCUGAAGGUCGAAAACAAAAGAAUUCCCCAAAGUUUCCCAAUUUUGCCAGCUGCAAUUUUCUGGUUUGUUUUGCCUCGUUACCCUUUUGCUGCAGAGAAAUCUCGCAUCUCUGCUACUUUCCGGUUUUAUACAAAUUCCAUCAAUUUCCCAAAACCUCGGCCACCACUUGAUUUGACCCAUCAGUUUCAACCCUCAAAAUAUCUGCAGCCCCUCUGCAAACAGAUCCAUCUUUCCCAAAUACAAAGCUCUCUUUGUCUCUCCAUUGCUUAAUUAUGGUUAAGAAUACUAGAAUUGGCUCUUGGUAAAUUGAAUUCACCCUCUGGGCUUCUCUCGUUUGCUUCUGGCCAGUUUGUGGGAACAUGUAUCACGCGAAGAAAUUUUCGAUGACAAGUUUAGUUCCGCACAAAGGUCAGGCUGGAGGUGGUGAUACACUUGCGACGAGUGCUGGGUUGUUGGGUGGAUCUGCCGUAAAAAACUCAACGCCUGCUUCUUCCGGUGGGGGAACUGGGAAGCAGCGUUUGCGCUGGACUUCCGACCUUCAUGACCGUUUUGUCGAUGCCAUCACUCAACUAGGCGGACCAGACAGUGAUUCUGAUACUUCGAAGUUGC